AAAGAAAGUAAGCAAGGGCGCAUGGCGGAUGCCUUGGCUCUCGGAGGCGAUGAAGGACGUGAUAAGCUGCGAUAAGCUUCGGGCAGGUGCAAAUAACCUUUGAUCCGAAGAUUUCCGAAUGGGACAACCCGUCAUUCUGAAGGAAUGACAUCUUGCAUAGCAAGAGGCUAACGCAGGGAACUGAAACAUCUUAGUACCUGUAGGAAAAGAAAAUAAUAAUGAUUCCCCUAGUAGUGGCGAGCGAACGGGGAUUAGCCCAAACCAAUGUUGUUACGGCAAUAUUGGGGUUGUAGGACCACGAUGUCGCAAGAAGUUUAGUGAGAAGAACCCUUUGGAAAAUGGGACCAUAGACGGUGAUAGUCCGGUAUUCGAAGCUAAAUGAAGCGUAGUGGUAUCCUGAGUAGCGCGGGACACGAGGAAUCUUGCGUGAAUCUGCCGGGACCAUCCGGUAAGGCUAAAUACUCCCGAGAGACCGAUAGCGAACCAGUACUGUGAAGGAAAGGUGAAAAGCACUUCGAAUAGAAGAGUGAAAUAGUCCCUGAAACCGUGCGCCUACAAGCGGUCGGAGCUGCUUCAGCAGUGACGGCGUGCCUUUUGCAUAAUGAACCUACGAGUUACUUUUUCCGGCAAGGUUAAGGAUCUUGAGAUCCGCAGCCGAAGCGAAAGCGAGUCUUAAUAGGGCGAUUAGUCGGAAGGAGUAGACGCGAAACCAAGUGAUCUACCCUUGGUCAGGUUGAAGGUUAGGUAACACUAACUGGAGGACCGAACCGAUAAGCGUUGAAAAGCUUCCGGAUGAACUGAGGGUGGGGGUGAAAGGCUAAUCAAACUUGGAGAUAGCUCGUACUCCCCGAAAUGCAUUUAGGUGCAGCCUUGGGAAUUACUACUGUGAGGUAGAGCGACUGAUAAGAUGCGAGGGCUUCACCGCCUAUCAAGUCUUGAUAAACUCCGAAUGCGCAGUAGUUCGAUCCCAGGAGUGAGGGCAUGGGUGCUAAGGUCCAUGUCCUAAAGGAGAAGAAUCCAGACCAUCAGCUAAGGUCCCGAAAUAAUUGCUAAGUUGAACUAACGAAGUCAGAUUGCUAAGACAGCUAGGAUGUUGGCUUGGAAGCAGCCAUUCAUUUAAAGAGUGCGUAACAGCUCACUAGUCGAGGAGUUUGGCGUGGAUAAUAAUCGGGCAUUAAGCAAUUUACCGAAGCUAUGGGAUGUUAACUAAACACUAACAUCGGUAGGGGAGCAUUCCACUCUGCGUCGAAGGUGAAGCGUGAGCUUUGCUGGAGCGUGUGGAAAAGCAAAUGUAGGUAUAAGUAACGAUAAAGGGGGUGAGAAACCCCCUCGCCGAAAGACUAAGGUUUCCUGAUCAACGCUAAUCGGAUCAGGGUUAGUCGGGUCCUAAGGCUCAGCCGAACGGUGAGGCCGAUGGCAGAACAGGUUAAUAUUCCUGUACUACCUUAAGGAGUGACGUGGAGACGGAGGAGUGACAACGCCGCGGACUGACGGAAUAGUCCGUUGAAGGGUGUAGAUGUUGAUUAUCCCAGGCAAAUCCGGGAUAAGAGUCGAACCUGAUAGUAUACCAAAUUCUUCGGAAUAAGGUAAUAGUGCGUGUAAGCAUACUCCCAAGAAAAUCCGCUAAACUUAAUCUUUAAGGUACCCGUACCGCAAACGGACACACGUAGUCGGGUUGAAUAUACUAAGGCGCUUGAGUGAUUCACGGUUAAGGAACUAGGCAAAUUGACCCUGUAACUUCGGGAUAAAGGGUCCCAACGAGAGUUGGGCGCAGAGAAUAGGUCCAGGCAACUGUUUAACAAAAACACAGGGCUGUGCUAAAUUGAAAGAUUACGUAUACAGCCUGACACCUGCCCGGUGCUGGAAGGUUAAGAGGAGAUGUCAUCGCAAGAGAAGCAUUGAAUUGAAGCCCCAGUAA
rnacentral:rRNA from 1 species